rnacentral:rRNA from 1 species
CCUACGGGUGGCAGCAGUGGGGAAUAUUGCACAAUGGGGGGAACCCUGAUGCAGCGACGCCGCGUGAGUGAAGAAGUAUUUCGGUAUGUAAAGCUCUAUCAGCAGGGAAGAACUAACGUCCUUCGGACUUUGGACGGUACCUGACUAAGAACCCCCGGCUAACUACGUGCCAGCAGCCGCGGUAAUCCGUAGGGGGCAAGCGUUAUCCGGAUUUACUGGGUGUAAAGGGAGCGUAGACGGGAGGGCAAGUCUGGAGUGAAAUCUCAUUGCUUAACCAUGGAACUGCUUUGGAAACUGGGAAGAUGGAGGGUAGGAGAGGAAAGCGGAAUUCCUGGUGUAGAGGUGAAAUGCGUAGAUAUUAGGAGGAACACCAGGGGCGAAGGCGGCUUACUGGACUGUAACUGACGUUGAGGAGCGAAAGCGUGGGGAGCAAACAGGAUUAGAUACCCGAGUAGUC